AGUGAACGCUGGCGGUAGGCCUAACGCAUGCAAGUCGAACGGCAGCACAGUAAGAGCUUGCUCUUACGGGUGGCGAGUGGCGGACGGGUGAGGAAUACAUCGGAAUCUACUUUUUCGUGGGGGAUAACGUAGGGAAACUUACGCUAAUACCGCAUACGACCUACGGGUGAAAGCAGGGGAUCUUCGGACCUUGCGCGAUUGAAUGAGCCGAUGUCGGAUUAGCUAGUUGGCGGGGUAAAGGCCCACCAAGGCGACGAUCCGUAGCUGGUCUGAGAGGAUGAGCAGCCACACUGGAACUGAGACACGGUCCAGACUCCUACGGGAGGCAGCAGUGGGGAAUAUUGGACAAUGGGCGCAAGCCUGAUCCAGCCAUACCGAGUGGGUGAAGAAGGCCUUCGGGUUGUAAAGCCCUUUUGUUGGGAAAGAAAAGCAGCAGGUUAAUACCCCGCUGUUCUGACGGUACCCAAAGAAUAAGCACCGGCUAACUUCGUG
rnacentral:rRNA from 1 species